ACAAAUUGGAAUAGUAUUUUGAUGGGUUAUGGAUAAAUAACAUAAAUAUACAUCUUAAUUUAAAAUAUUUACACAAAAGUUGACCUUUAUAUAAAUAUACAUCUUAAUUUAAAAUAUUUACACAAAAGUUGACCUUUAUAAAAUAAUUACAAGAAUCCCAACUAUCCUUUUCUCUCUCUAAAAAAUCAAUACAUAACACUAUCCUCAAAUCCCAAAUCUAAUUCUUUUUUUCCUCCAUACCAACUGCCCCAAAUUCAAUUCAAACACCCUUUUCCUCCUCCGCCAAAAUGUUUGUUUUCAGUUUCUAAAGAAUUUUUAGCAAAAUUUUUCAAACGGAAGUUCGUAAGAACCGAUAAAAGGUCUCGUCCGAUGUUGGGGAAGUUUGCCGCCGAAAGGGCAAUAUUAUUGAGAUCCAGAAGAGCAGGAGAGAAGAUAGCUUGCUUAAGAAGCGUCGUGACGGUCUUCAAGACCAACAACAACAAUUCCAUCUAAUCUUCAAACUUUCAUCGUUGAAAAGAAGUUGGAAAGUCUUUCAAUGGAGGUUGAAGAUGACGAUGUUAAUGGAGAUAUAUACGAAUGAUAUAUCUGUUACGAUAGUUUUGAAGAUGAUGAUAUUAAUGGAGAUACAUACGAAUGAUAUAUCUGUUAAGGUAGUUCGGAGAUACAAAAGAAUAGUGUAUUUUGUUGAAAAGGAUAAGAAGAUACAUCAUGCAAUCCUCUACUAAAUGUAUAAAGUUAUGUAUCUUAUUGAAUAUUAAGUUGCAGAUACAUAAGAUAUAUGCAUCUAAACAUAUCUCUGUGAUAUUAUUAUAUACAAGUUAUGUACUAGUACUUAUGUAUCAGAUGGCGAUAUAUUGCAAGUCUUAUCUAUGUAUCACAAUAAUGAAUUAAAAAUUGAAAUUUUAUGUAAAUAUGAAAACAGACGGGAUUUUGUGUAAUUGGGCGAUAAACUGUUGGGAUUUAUGAAAAUUGCCCGUAAAAAAAAAAUUGUUGUGCAGAAAUGAAUUGGAUUUGGGACUUGGGAGUAUACGUGAUGUAUCAAUAAUUUGAAGACAUAAAGUAAAAUUCAAAAUUUUUAUAAUUUUUUUAAGGAAUUGGAAUUUUAGAUAAUAAUAGUAAGUUAAGGUGUGACAUUGUGUAAUUUAUCCUGAAAAUAAGCAUUUUAUGGUGAAAUGGGUAUUUAACCUAUGCAUCAUUUAUUAUUUAACUAGUAAAAUUAUCCGCA
rnacentral:lncRNA from 1 species